rnacentral:rRNA from 1 species
UGGGGAAUAUUGCACAAUGGGCGCAAGCCUGAUGCAGCCAUGCCGCGUGUAUGAAGAAGGCCUUCGGGUUGUAAAGUACUUUCAGCGGGGAGGAAGGCGAUAAGGUUAAUAACCUUGUCGAUUGACGUUACCCGCAGAAGAAGCACCGGCUAACUCCGUGCCAGCAUCCGCGGUAAUACGGAGGGUGCAAGCGUUAAUCGGAAUUACUGGGCGUAAAGCGCACGCAGGCGGUCUGUCAAGUCGGAUGUGAAAUCCCCGGGCUCAACCUGGGAACUGCAUUCGAAACUGGCAGGCUAGAGUCUUGUAGAGGGGGGUAGAAUUCCAGGUGUAGCGGUGAAAUGCGUAGAGAUCUGGAGGAAUACCGGUGGCGAAGGCGGCCCCCUGGACAAAGACUGACGCUCAGGUGCGAAAGCGUGGGGAGCAAACA